CCGACUGCAUGCCGGGUGCCCUCACGGCACUUCUCGGUUGCACGCUGUGAGCCAGAGGCCAAACACAGCACACGUUGUCUCUGAAAAGAAGAGGAUGGACCAGCCUAAGAAGGUAUUAAAAAUGCCAGGAGCCGAGAAGCCCCCUGCCCCGCUCCCAACAUUCCUUCAGGACAGUUUUGCUGACACAGCAUUCCUCUGGGCCAGGGUGAAGGCCCAAAGUCCCAACCAAUGAUGAUUUCCUGUUAACCCUUGGACUAAGGGUUGAGCCCUGGAAUAUCCCCCAGGGAUUCCGGAGGCCUUCUUCUUGCGUUUGUUUACAAUGCAUGGCCCUCUUCCUUGCCAAGAGGAAGCCCAGUUUUAUUUACAUUUCAGUGUCCCAGAGGGUGGAGGGGACCACCGGGCACCUUUGUCCCCAGGCUGAUUCUGGGCUGCUGCUUGCAAAUGAGGAAGCUCUAAACUGCCCAGAAGUCAGACACUAGUAGAAUUUUGAAGCUGGAAGGGGUGCCAUUUCACAGAUGGGGAAUGAGAGGUCUGGAGAUGCCUAGAUUGGACCAGGGCCUGAGCCAGAUCAUCCGGGAGGAUCCAGGGAUCCUGGCCUUGUCCUGCCAUGGACGGUCCCGUCCCCAUCAGCAGACUGGCGACGUGGACCAGACGUUUGCCUCGCACGGCUACUCGCCCUGGUGGUCAAGAGUAGGGCCUGGAGCCCGACGUCCUGGGUCUGAAUUCUGCUUAGCCCCUUUGGACGAAAACUUAACACUCAAUGCCACUUCUUUCCUGUAUGUGAAAUGGGGCUGAUCACCACAGUUAACCCUAAGCGCCUCGCACCGCAAGUCCCUCUGCUUGUUAAAUAAAUACAAUGGAUCUCUACACAUGCACAAUAAAGACACGGAAACAGUUAAUC
rnacentral:lncRNA from 10 species